AUUGAACGCUGGCGGCAUGCCUUACACAUGCAAGUCGAACGGCAGCACGGAGCUUGCUCUGGUGGCGAGUGGCGAACGGGUGAGUAAUAUAUCGGAACGUACCCUAGAGUGGGGGAUAACGUAGCGAAAGUUACGCUAAUACCGCAUACGAUCUAAGGAUGAAAGUGGGGGAUCGCAAGACCUCAUGCUCGUGGAGCGGCCGAUAUCUGAUUAGCUAGUUGGUAGGGUAAAAGCCUACCAAGGCAUCGAUCAGUAGCUGGUCUGAGAGGACGACCAGCCACACUGGAACUGAGACACGGUCCAGACUCCUACGGGAGGCAGCAGUGGGGAAUUUUGGACAAUGGGCGAAAGCCUGAUCCAGCAAUGCCGCGUGAGUGAAGAAGGCCUUCGGGUUGUAAAGCUCUUUUGUCAGGGAAGAAACGGUGAAAGCUAAUAUCUCUUGCUAAUGACGGUACCUGAAGAAUAAGCACCGGCUAACUACGUGCCAGCAGCCGCGGUAAUACGUAGGGUGCAAGCGUUAAUCGGAAUUACUGGGCGUAAAGCGUGCGCAGGCGGUUUUGUAAGUCUGAUGUGAAAUCCCCGGGCUCAACCUGGGAAUUGCAUUGGAGACUGCAAGGCUAGAAUCUGGCAGAGGGGGGUAGAAUUCCACGUGUAGCAGUGAAAUGCGUAGAUAUGUGGAGGAACACCGAUGGCGAAGGCAGCCCCCUGGGUCAAGAUUGACGCUCAUGCACGAAAGCGUGGGGAGCAAACAGGAUUAGAUACCCUGGUAGUCCACGCCCUAAACGAUGUCUACUAGUUGUCGGGUCUUAAUUGACUUGGUAACGCAGCUAACGCGUGAAGUAGACCGCCUGGGGAGUACGGUCGCAAGAUUAAAACUCAAAGGAAUUGACGGGGACCCGCACAAGCGGUGGAUGAUGUGGAUUAAUUCGAUGCAACGCGAAAAACCUUACCUACCCUUGACAUGGCUGGAAUCCUCGAGAGAUUGAGGAGUGCUCGAAAGAGAACCAGUACACAGGUGCUGCAUGGCUGUCGUCAGCUCGUGUCGUGAGAUGUUGGGUUAAGUCCCGCAACGAGCGCAACCCUUGUCAUUAGUUGCUACGAAAGGGCACUCUAAUGAGACUGCCGGUGACAAACCGGAGGAAGGUGGGGAUGACGUCAAGUCCUCAUGGCCCUUAUGGGUAGGGCUUCACACGUCAUACAAUGGUACAUACAGAGCGCCGCCAACCCGCGAGGGGGAGCUAAUCGCAGAAAGUGUAUCGUAGUCCGGAUUGUAGUCUGCAACUCGACUGCAUGAAGUUGGAAUCGCUAGUAAUCGCGGAUCAGCAUGUCGCGGUGAAUACGUUCCCGGGUCU
rnacentral:rRNA from 1 species